CACAAGGCUCCUGUUUCAAGAGGAAGAUCACAAGCAAUUGUCUUUAGAGUUAUCUUUCAAAUACUAAAAGAAAAUGCAAUUUUGGCUCCUUUUGAUGUCUAUUGUUGCUGUGUGGGAAGCUAUUUUGCCCAGUAAGUUUUCUUAUUAUCAUUAGGGUGAUUUUAUUUAUUUCAUAGCAUUUAUAUACCCAUUGAUUGUAAAAGACCUCAAAGUAGAUUAAGAUGAUUCCCUCCUUUCAAUCUCCUUUCCAGGGGUCUGUUCCCAGGUUGUUCUGACUCAAGUGGGUUCAGAAUUGAAAAGGCCUGGAGAAUCAGUCAGACUGCAAUGUGCUACAAGUGGAUUUGUUUUGACUGACUAUGGGAUGAAUUGGAUAAGGCAGAAACCAGGGAAGGGACUGCAGUGGCUGGUGUGGUACUGGAAACCUUCAGAAACCAAUUACUAUUUGCCUGCAAUCCAAGGACGCUUCACCGCCUCCAAGGACAGCUCCAAUUUUUAUCUGCAGAUGAACAAUCUGACUCCUGAAGACACAGCUGUGUAUUACUGUGCAAGAGA